UCCUGCUCUGCAGCCUACCACAAUGGCACACCACUACAAGCUGCGUAAGCGCAUUUUUGCUAGAGAUGUCACAUUGAAAUGAAGUAAAUCUUCUUUGUGGUUAUGCUUCAAGGUUGUGCCCACCAUGCUGGCACCUAAGGACUCUGUACAGACAUCAGCAGAGAACCACUUUCCUUGUCCCAGGGAACUCCUCACAGAACAAUGAGAAAAAAAAGACUUCACAAUGGAUGGGUGAGGCAAAUAGGAAAGGGGUAGACAUAUGUCUUCUCUUCAGCUUGGCCCUUAAUCUCCAUCCAAACAGUAAUCAAGACAUGAGUUAAUCAAACAACUACUAUGCCAGCACACCAGUACCAUGGCCUGCAACUGAUUUCCAGUUGGCAUGAGCUUGUUUAUUACUCAUCCAUUGCUGUGAACAGGAGAAAUCAGAGGAAAAGUAGAGAUUUCUUGACUCCAAGGAGCCAUUGCCAACUGCCACCAACAACUGCAAUCUUCCAGAGUGAUAAGGAUCUCCAAAGACUCAGUGAUAGUCCACUGCUACCCUAUUACUGCUCCUCCUGAAGGGAUGUGUCUGAGAGUCAUUAAGCAACUUAUUUUCAAGCUACAAAUGCGGCUUCCAGAAGUGAUUCCCAUUUCAAGGUUUCUGCAAAACCUGGGAGUUUUGAGUGCUCAGUGUCUGAAAACUUCAAAGUUACACUUUUGUCCCUGUGGUAACUCUUCAACGUUUUACAAGGUAGACGGAAGAAAAUCCCCAAAAGCUGCAGACAACAAACAAUAAAUCUAAAAUGGCAUAGAAGAAGAGAGUCCUCAGUACAAAUUCAAAGAGAAUAACAGCUUCUACCACUUCUUUCUGCCCUUGCUCAACCUGUUGUCCCACCCUAGGGAAAAUACAGUCCUAAUCGCCAGUCCUUGCCCUUCUACUUAUGAGCAUUCUAUCUGUACAUGCCUAUCCUCACUGGUAAACAAGCAGGAAAAUUAAAACUGAAAUAACAGAAAAUAGCUUAAAUAAGAAAUAAGCUUGGCUACUGUAUUUAAAAAUACAUUUUAUGUAAUGCUUUGGUUUCAGAAUUGUACUUUACAUAAGUGGUGACUGAUGUCCAUCAACAAAAUUGUCACGCCCAGCUUAGCAAUGCACUGUGUAACCUCCGUUCCCAUUGAAGUCAGGAUUUGAAAGCAUUUGAAAGUACUCUUCAGACUCAGGUAUCAACCAGUCUGGUGGCUCACUUUGGAUAUGUUAG